rnacentral:rRNA from 1 species
GAUGAACGCUGGCGGCGUGCCUAAUACAUGCAAGUCGAGCGAACAGACGAGGAGCUUGCUCCUCUGACGUUAGCGGCGGACGGGUGAGUAACACGUGGAUAACCUACCUAUAAGACUGGGAUAACUUCGGGAAACCGGAGCUAAUACGGGAUAAUAUAUUGAACCGCAUGGUUCAAUAGUGAAAGACGGUUUUGCUGUCACUUAUAGAUGGAUCCGCGCCGCAUUAGCUAGUUGGUAAGGUAACGGCUUACCAAGGCAACGAUGCGUAGCCGACCUGAGAGGGUGAUCGGCCACACUGGAACUGAGACACGGUCCAGACUCCUACGGGAGGCAGCAGUAGGGAAUCUUCCGCAAUGGGCGAAAGCCUGACGGAGCAACGCCGCGUGAGUGAUGAAGGUCUUCGGAUCGUAAAACUCUGUUAUUAGGGAAGAACAAAUGUGUAAGUAACUAUGCACGUCUUGACGGUACCUAAUCAGAAAGCCACGGCUAACUACGUG